rfam:Nomascus leucogenys chromosome 14, whole genome shotgun sequence.
GCCAGGCGUGGUGGCAGGUGCCUGUAGUCUCAGCUGCUUGGGAGGCUGAGGCAGGAGGAUCACUAGAGCCCAGGAGUUCUGGGCUAUAGUGUGCUAUGCCCAUCGGGUAUCUGCACUAAGUUCAACAUUAUUAUGGUGACCUCCCGGGAGCAAGGAACCACCAGGUUGCCUAAGGAGUGGUGAACCGGCCCAGGUAGGAAACAGAGCAGGUCAAAACUCCCAUGCUGAUCAGUAGUGGGAACGCACCUGUGAAUAGCCACUGUACUCCAGCCUGGGCAACAUAGUGAGACCCUGUCUCUA